UUAAAAAAAAAAAGAAAUCUCCUUUAAAAGCCUCAUAACCAACUUGUCGUCGAGAAUGUUCUGCUUUGCUUUGGUCUUCGAUUAAGCGAGGACCGAUCCACAUUUCUCUUGUUGAAGUCUCUGAUUGGCUCGACGAAUCACAUCUGCCACGCGGUGCGCUAGUCGAACUCUUCAGUGCAUCUGGAACGCCAAUUUUAUCUAGAAAGAACACUCGUAUUACUAUGAUUUAAUGCACAAACAAAUGACACAUAAAUUAAAAUAAAAAAGAGAAGAAAUAACUUAAUUAAAAAAAAAAAAGAAAUCUCCUUUGAAAGCCUCAUGCCACUUCUCACAAGUACUCGACGAGGCCCGAAGGGCUCUCUCGAAUUCUCUCGAUGGAGAACCCUAGCCGUUAAUCUCCACAACGGUUCUCCUCCCAUUGAUUGCCUUAAAGGCUCUCAUCAUUCGGCCCCUCUCAGCCGAACGAAACCCAUAGCCCUUCCCUUCUCUCGCCGGCGGCCUCUCUCACCGGCAACCUCGCCGACCUGAUUCCUUCUUUUCGCCGAGACCUCUUGCCUAAAGCUCUAGUUGGACUUCUCCCUUCUUUUUUUCUUUUUCCCCAAAGCUUUUGAGCUGUCAAAGGUUUUACUACUCAAUCUUAUUUGCUCUCUUCGGAUUCAUCAUCAUAGGUAAUAGGGAUUUGAAGUUGCCCAACAUUAGAGUGUUUUGCUGGUAGUUGCUAUUCAAUAUUGGUAUAUAAACUUCGAUGUCUCGGUUUCCUGUGGGAUUAUAAUGAAUGAGAAGUCUAAAGCUGAGCCCGUCCCCAAUCUAAAUUCUUAUGCCCCUUUCUGGUUUUCCAUAUGCUCAUCACUUAACUUUUUAUGUAAACAUGCAUGUUUAAUUAAUUAAUUUAUUUAUUUAAGUUGCAACUAUUCGUUUAAUCUUUUAUAUACACUUGUGCUACCUAGUUGCAAUUCUGUAUAAGCUUCGUCAGAGUCGACAAGUAUGCACUGAUCUUUUUAUUUUUACUGCACUUUACUGUUUAUAUUUUCUUAUACAUGCAAUAUUAUUCUCAUGUUA